AUCACAGAAAAGCUUUUAUUUCCCGCUUGGAGAAAGAAGAAAACGAAGACACACAGAUGCGAGGAGAAGCAGUCAGAUGCAAAGGUUCAUUGUGAGGAUUAACCCUGACAACAGCAAGUGCUCCUCAAAGUUCCAGGUCACCAAAAGAAGUGGGAAGAUGCAUGGUGCAAAGGAAGAACUCUGGCCUGAACCCUCAUGUAUCCUCCUUUAUUAAGGAGUUUCUGGAUUUCAGCUGGCAAAACUAUUAAGCUACUAAGAGCAAAUACGUUCUACACAGGAGUUGAAUUUGUACAUUUUUAAGAUUGUUCUUAUGACUGAAUCUGUUAAUGUCUGUUGUUUUAAAAUGCUCUUAAUAUGAAACUUUUAUGUAUAAAUGAAAUGUUUUCAAGUUUUUGGAAAACUGAAAGUACAAUCUGCAAGAAUAUUAAAAUGUUAUUUCAAG
ensembl:lncRNA